rnacentral:rRNA from 1 species
UACGGAGGGUGCAAGCGUUAUCCGGAUUCACUGGGCUUAAAGGGUGCGUAGGUGGGUUGAUAAGUCAGUGGUGAAAUCCCCGAGCUUAACUUGGGAACUGCCAUUGAUACUAUUGAUCUUGAAUACCGUAGAGGUCAGCGGAAUAUGUCAUGUAGCGGUGAAAUGCUUAGAUAUGACAUAGAACACCAAUUGCGAAGGCAGCUGGCUGGGCGAAUAUUGACACUGAUGCACGAAAGCGUGGGGAUCAAACAGG